AUGAGUGUGUUCAAAUUCCCCAAAAAAAUCUGUAAGGGAAUCACUGAUGCAAUGUCACAAUAUUGGUGGGGUGAUGAGGAAAACCACAAAAGGAUGCACUGGUCCGCUUGGUGGAAGAUGUGUGUGCCGAAGGAGAAUGGAGGAAUGGGUUUUCGUGAUAUUCACAGUUUUAACUUGGCGAUGCUAGCCAAGCAGUGCUGGAGAUUGAUUGAGAAUUUUGACUCCUUGUGUGCUAAAGAAGCAAGAUAUUAUUCCAAUGAAGAUAUACUAAAUUGUGAGUUGAAGAAGGGGUCGUCUUUUGUCUGGCAGAGCAUAUGGGCAGGGACCCAAACAUUGAAGAAGGGGUGUAUAUGGAGAGUGGGAGACGGUGCCAAGAUAGAUAUUUGGAAUGAUUGUUGGGUUCCCAAUAGCAGUUCUAGAAAAGUGGUAACCGUCCGAGGAAAUCGUGUGCUCUCAAAAGUCUCUGAAUUAAUUGAUCCAUACACUGGCGAGUGGGAUGAACAGUUGAUACAUGACAACUUCUGGCAUAUAGACGCUGAGCGUAUAUUGCAGAUCCCUUUAUUUAAUCAGGCGAUAGAGGAUUAUGUUGCUUGGCAUUUAACAAAGAACGACAUUUUUUCAGUACGCUCGGCAUAUUAUAAACAGUGGGAGGAUACCUAUUUGGGAGAUAAUUCAGCGUCAGGUGGACAGGGUGGUUCUUUACCACACCCGGUAUGGAGGAAGCUGUGGAACCUAAAACUUCCGGGCCAAAUCAAGAUCUUUGUUUGGAGAUGUCUCCACAAUGCGAUACCAUGUUUUUCUAUACUCGCAAAUCGACACAUUGGCAAGGUUUUAGAAUGCCCUAUAUGCAAGGGUGGAACGGAGGACAUACAUCAUGCAUUAUUCACAUGCUCUAGAGCAAAGGAAGUGUGGAAGGCGCUGGGUGUGGAGACACUUAUCGCUGAUGCGACUCUAGUGGACAGAUCGGGUGCUGAGAUGCUAAGUUUGCUUCUGUGUGAUAAAUCAAACCAGAUUUUGUGUAAGUCUCCGAUCGAGAGGGCUGAACUGGUGGCCACAGCCUCAUGGUAUAUAUGGUGGCAAUGUAGGCAUCAAAUCUAUGGGGAAGUGGUACAAAAUCCUAUACGAACAGCACCAACAAUUCAUACAUUAACACUGAAUUUUGUUAGAGUAGCAGGGAAAUCAAAUACAGUGCCAAGAAUGAAUAGAUGGAGUCCGGCCCUAGAGACACAACAAAUAUUGAAUGUUGAUGCUUCAUUCUGUGAAGAGGAAGACUAUGACGCCCCGAGACCGAUGCUCUAG
rnacentral:rRNA from 1 species